GGGCGUAAGCGCGCGCAGGCGGUCCUUUAAGUCUGAUGUGAAAGCCCACGGCUCUACCGUGGAGGGUCAUUGGAAACUGGGGGACUUGAGUGCCUAAGAGGAAAGCGGAAUUCCACGUGUAGCGGUGAAAUGCGUAGAGAUGUGGAGGAACACCAGUGGCGAAGGCGGCUUUCUGGUCUGUAACUGACGCUGAGGCGCGAAAGCGUGGGGAGCAAACAGGAUUAGAUACCCUGGUAGUCCACGCCGUAAACGAUGAGUGCUAAGUGUUAGAGGGUUUCCGCCCUUUAGUGCUGCAGCUAACGCAUUAAGCACUCCGCCUGGAGAGUACG
rnacentral:rRNA from 2 species